rnacentral:sRNA from 1 species
AAAGUUAGAACUAAUCCGAAAGCCGUUUUCAAAGCAAAGCACUAUAGCCCUUUUAUGGAACUUAGCUUUGUCAAACAAAGUUUUUAAACUAGCUAAGUUUUUAGCACCUAUUGAAGUGGAAAUAACAUCAGCUCUUUCCAUUAGUUCAAUAAUCUUCGCUUCAUCCUUUAAGUUUCAAGUAUUAAAGUCAUU